UCCAGACUCCUACGGGAGGCAGCAGUGGGGAAUAUUGCACAAUGGGCGAAAGCCUGAUGCAGCAACGCCGCGUGAGGGACGAAGGCCUUCGGGUUGUAAACCUCUUUUAGUAGGGAAGAAGCGACUGGGUUUUCCUGGAAGUGACGGUACCUGCAGAAAAAGCACCGGCUAACUACGUGCCAGCAGCCGCGGUAAUACGUAUCC
rnacentral:rRNA from 1 species